rnacentral:rRNA from 1 species
GACGAACGCUGGCGGCGUGCCUAAUACAUGCAAGUAGAACGCACAGUUUAUACCGUAGCUUGCUACACCAUAGACUGUGAGUUGCGAACGGGUGAGUAACGCGUAGGUAACCUGCCUGGUAGCGGGGAUAACUAUUGGAAACGAUAGCUAAUACCGCAUAAUAUUAAUUAUUGCAUGAUAAUUAAUUGAAAGGUGCAAUUGCACCACUACCAGAUGGACCUGCGUUGUAUUAGCUAGUAGGUGAGGUAACGGCUCACCUAGGCGACGAUACAUAGCCGACCUGAGAGGGUGAUCGGCCACACUGGGACUGAGACACGGCCCAGACUCCUACGGGAGGCAGCAGUAGGGAAUCUUCGGCAAUGGACGAAAGUCUGACCGAGCAACGCCGCGUGAGUGAAGAAGGUUUUCGGAUCGUAAAGCUCUGUUGUAAGAGAAGAACGGGUGUGAGAGUGGAAAGUUCACACUGUGACGGUAGCUUACCAGAAAGGGACGGCUAACUACGUG